rnacentral:rRNA from 1 species
UGGAGGUAGUGACAAUAAAUCACAAUGCGGAACUAUUUAGUUUUGCAAUUGGAUUGAGAACAAUGUACAAAUGUUAUCGAUAAACAAUUGGAGGGCAAGUCUGGUGCCAGCAGCCGCGGUAAUUCCAGCUCCAAUAGCGUAUAUUAACGUUGUUGCAGUUAAAAAGCUCGUAGUUGAAAUGUGGGAUGAAGUAUAUGAUGAAUUUAAUAUUCAAUUAUAUAUUGAUUCCCCUCUCCAAUUUAUUAUUAUGGGUAUUAAUUUAUUUGUAAUAAGAAUUGGUCAUUUACUGUGAGAAAAUUAGAGUGUUCAAAGCAGGCAUUUGCUUGAAUAGAUUAGCAUGGAAUAAUACUAAAAGGCUUUUAUGGUCGAUUUAAUUGGUUUGUUCAUAAAAGCAAGAUUAAAAGGAACAGUUGGGGGUAUUCAUAUUCAAUAGUUAGAGGUGAAAUUCUCGGAUUUAUGGAAGAUGAACAAGUGCGAAAGCAA